AACGAACGCUGGCGGCAUGCCUAACACAUGCAGGUCGAACGAGACCUUCGGGUCUAGUGGCGCACGGGUGCGUAACACGUGGGAAUCUGCCCUUUGCUUCGGAAUAACAGUUAGAAAUGACUGCUAAUACCGGAUGAUGUCGAAAGACCAAAGAUUUAUCGGCAAAGGAUGAGCCCGCGUAGGAUUAGGUAGUUGGUGGGGUAAAGGCCUACCAAGCCGACGAUCCUUAGCUGGUCUGAGGGGAUGAUCAGCCACACUGGGACUGAGACACGGCCCAGACUCCUACGGGAGGCAGCAGUGGGGAAUAUUGGACAAUGGGCGAAAGCCUGAUCCAGCAAUGCCGCGUGAGUGAUGAAGGCCUUAGGGUUGUAAAGCUCUUUUACCAGGGAUGAUAAUGACAGUACCUGGAGAAUAAGCUCCGGCUAACUCCGUG
rnacentral:rRNA from 1 species